rnacentral:rRNA from 1 species
UGGGGAAUAUUGCACAAUGGGCGCAAGCCUGAUGCAGCCAUGCCGCGUGUGUGAAGAAGGCCUUCGGGUUGUAAAGCACUUUCAGCGAGGAGGAAGGGUUCAGUGUUAAUAGCACUGUGCAUUGACGUUACUCGCAGAAGAAGCACCGGCUAACUCCGUGCCAGCAGCCGCGGUAAUACGGAGGGUGCAAGCGUUAAUCGGAAUUACUGGGCGUAAAGCGCACGCAGGCGGUUUGUUAAGUCAGAUGUGAAAUCCCCGCGCUUAACG